rnacentral:rRNA from 1 species
AUGAGUAAGCCUGAGAACAUGUUCUCGCUUCUUAAUCUGGUUGGCGAAGAUGAUGAAGGGAAUGAUAGCGAAGUGACCCAAACAUCUUCUACUAGUAUAGAAGAAACUGCUGCCAGCAAACCUGAUAAAGGCGUGCAAAAUGACACAACUGUUGUAAGCAAUAAUGGAGCAGCUCUUGCAUCAUCAUCUGGUGGUUACAGGAUGCCUUUAGUGUGGAUAGACUUGGAAAUGACUGGUUUGGAUAUUUCAAAAGAUCGGAUAUUGGAGAUAGCUUGCAUUGUAACAGAUGGUAAACUUACAAAACAAAUAGAGGGUCCUAACUUGGUUAUAUGUCAGAGCAAAGCUUGCUUAGAUAAUAUGAAUGAAUGGUGUAAAACCCAUCAUGCAUCUAGUGGAUUGACAGAGAGAGUACUGCAGAGUGAGAUUUCUGAGGGUGACGCGGAGAAACAAGUGUUAGACUUCCUCAUGAAGCAUGUAGGUUCAGACACUCCAUCAAUAGCUGGGAAUUCAGUUUACAUAGAUUUACUAUUUUUAAAGAAGUAUUUGCCACGGCUUGCAGCCAUCUUCUCUCACGUGAUUGUUGAUGUGAGCAGUAUCAUGGCUUUGUGCACCCGGUGGUACCCUAAAGAAAGGAAGCAAACUCCUAGGAAAGGAAAAAGUCACAGGGCGAUGGACGAUAUCAAAGAGAGCAUCGCCGAACUGAAAUACUACAAGGGCAACAUCUUCAAACCGCAGAAAUCUAAAAAGUAG